rnacentral:tRNA from 1 species
GGGCUCGUAGCUCAGUGGUAGAGCGCCUCCUUUGCGAGGAGGAGGCCGCGAGUUCAAAAGCAGAUAAACUGCUGAACAUCUCGCCGAGUCCA